GUUGCGUUGCAGUUUAUUGAGCUCCAUCGAGAAGUGUGCAUGUGACGAAGAAGGCCGUUAAUAAUUCAACUACUUAAAGAAUACGGGUUAGAUAUGGACAACGACUUCGAAGACAUUUGCAGUAGGCUAAACAGAGAAAGAGAGGGAGACCCAAAACUACCUGUCCUGGCAUCACAUUUGAGGAGAGGAAGUCGGUGAAUAUGACCUAGCCCGGGGAAGUUUCCAGAAGAAGGCCCAGAACCACCGGCCGCCAGGAGUGGAGGUCCUUUGUUGUUGCUCUACAUGUCAGGAGGCAUCGGGCAGUAGGUAAGACUAACCCUGGUAGAAGCACCAUCUUGAUACUAUCAUUCAAACUCUCAUCAGCUGUAUCAUUAUAGGUGGACUAAAAGAACAAUAUUCAUGCAGAUAUAAUGAUGCCUUAAGUUGAAAUGGAAGUUGUCCUGAAUCUGCACCCAUUCAUCUGGUUUAGUAAGUUCUCCUUUCAUAGUGCUAUUGGAACCUGCUCCCUACCAGUAUAACAUCAACAUAUUGGAAGAAUAAAGGCCAAUGGGAAGUGCCUUUUAUAUUUCUACUUGCCACAAAGCAGUCCAUGGUUUAGCGCAAUCUAAACUGGACUAUUGUAAUGCUCUUCGUGCUUGAAUUAGGGCGAUCUGGACUGACUGCAGAUAGUACAGAAUGCUGCAUCUAUUGUGCCAUUUGCCAUGUACGCCAACUUCGCUGGCUGCAAGUCAAGGAAAGGAUAUACAUGAACAUCAGUGUCCGUCUCCUGAUUUUCAAAGUCAAUGACAGAGAUCCAGAUUACAUGUAUUAUAAGGAAUCCCUUGUGCGUCAUUUUCAUUCUAGGCGCACUUGCCUUUUUAUUUUUGUGAUCAUUACGCACCUACAAAUUAGCUACUGGUGAUGCAACUUUCUCCACUACUGCUCCAAGGCCAUGGAAUUAGCUCCUUCCUCUCCUCCAGUUGUCAACAACCUUGGAUCAAUCCAAAUACAAUUUGAGAAGACCUACCAUAUUCCUGAUCUUUGCUCUGUACUUACAACAAUACUGUCACUGCCUGGUAAUUUGAAUUUUUUUAAAUCUCAUGUGCUGACUAGGAUGGCGUCUCAAUUCAUCCAAAUUAGACAAGGGAUAAUAAAGUAAUGUAUGACAUUCUAACCUCUGCAUUAUUUUGGUGAAAGAGCUCUAAGCAUAUGCAAGUAGCAAGCUGAUGAUGUCAUACUGACGUACAUUGUACAUGUACACGUAUCCCCAACUUAUUAUUUUGUAUAUAAAAUUGUGCAUUUAAUUUUGUUUACCAAGAAUGAAACAAAUUGGAUUGUAAACUGUAUUGAUGUGACUUACCUGUAUUGAUUAUUGCUGGAAGUUCUUUUGCUACAUGGGAUUGGAAGACAUACUUAUUGCACACAUGAAGUAAAUUAUUAUUUUAUCUGGUAACAUGAGAACAAAAAAAAAUGUGGGCAUGAUAUCAUAAACUUACAUGUAUCUACUUGCAUGUGUUGAUGACCAAUAUUUUUGUAAUUAUUUUUUUAAAAUUUUAUCUGAUUUUGAUAAAAUUUUCACUAUUUUGCAUGGUAGAAAUUACUUUAUUUUAGAUUAUGUUGAGCCCGUAUCAUAUACAAGUACAACUUUAAAGAUAAAUUACCAGUUGUAGUAACAAUCUUAAAAUGAGUUCGAACAGAAUCCAAUAGAAUUACCAGCAAAAUAUAAAAGAUAUGUGCCAUAAUUAUAAUGUGCCAUAAUUAUAGCUUGGGAAGAAAAUGUGUAAUUGCUGAGAAAUGAGCAAAAUAAGCAUGUAAUUCUAUCAAAUGUCAGGUAUUUUUCAAAUCAAUCAUAAUACACUGUCCUGUCCCACAUAUGCUUUUCUGUGUUAGUGAUCAUCAGAAUAAGUGAUUUUAAGUUCAAAAUUAGUAAUUUUACAAAGAUACAAGUUUACAUUAAUGUACCAGAUCUAGAGAUUAUGUACAAUAUUUUGACAAUUUCUCAUGAAAUAAUUGUUUGCUGCAACUGCUGUCUUUUUAAUAUCUCUAAGUGAUAGUGUAAUACAACCACAAACUUUUCUUAAGAAUUAAUGUACAUGUACAGUAUGAUUCUUUCACCCAAAUUUACAUGCAUUGAUACUGUUGACUACUUGCCAAAAGUUCCUGCCAAAACUGAAAAGCCUUUUUUUUUUACGAUGUACAUGCUUUUAUAGAUGACCUGCCAAAACAUUGUAUUGUAUAUAUAUUCAAGGACCAACCAAAAGAGAUGAAUAAAAUGUUUAAAGGAAAUUGAAAUUAACUUUAAAAAUGAUAGCUGUCAAUGCAGUAUUAUUACAGGGUUCCCACAGUCAUGGAAAAUCCUGGAAAAAAUUGGUCAUGGAAAGUCAGAGAUAUGUGAAAAGUCAUGGAAUUGCAUUUACCUCUUGGCUAUGACAGCUUUCUAGUUUUUUAUGUCUCACAACUCUCAUACUCUGUGAUUGUACUCUACUAUUAUAAUUGGUGUUCAUGAUCAUAACAUGUCUGAUUUUGUAAACUGUGCCAGAAAGGAAUUAAGUCAUGGAAAGCAGCAAUUUAGUCAUGGAGAGGUCAUGGAAUUCUGUUUUCAAAUUUCUGUGGGAACCCUGAAUAGGUUUGUGCACUCUAUAUAGGGAAGGACAUUUUAGAGUAAAUUUGAUAAAUACAGGACAAUGAAAAUGAAUCCACUCAUAUACCCCCAAUCCGAUUUCCCAGUAUGGAGUACCACCUUUUCAAAGUUGGCAUCUUCUGGUUCGAAGUCUAUGGAUGGAGAUAAUUCCGUCAGCGACGAACUACAUCUCUAAACGUUUGGGCACUUUAUAUUCUAUUUCAUCGAUAAUAAAUCAAAUGUACAGAUAAAACUCAUAAAAUAUUAAUUAAAAUAUGUUUGAUAUUAUAUGAUAGGUUCAAAUUACGACUUGAUGAGUUUUAAUGAUAAAAAUUACACCCUAAUCUACGAUUUACAAAUUGGCAGCGAAAAUCAAUCAGAAAUUGGGGUGUAAAUCUUAUCAUUAAAACUCAUCAAAUUGUAUUUUGAACCUACCAUAUAUUAAACAAAUUUUAACUAAUAUUUUUAUGAGUUUUAUCUGUACAUUUGAUUUGUUAUUGAUAAAAUAGAAUAUAUAAUGCCUAAACGUUUAGAGAUGUAGUUCGUCGCUGAUGUAAUAAUUUUCUAACUAACCCCGCGAAAAUGGAGACCUCCAUCCAGAAACUUCGAACCAUACUGUAAGAGGCCAACUUUGAAAAGGUGGUACUCCGUAAUUGGAUUAGGGUAUGAGUGGAUUCAUUUUGAUUGUCCUGUAUUUAUCAAUGGGAUCAUGUGGUAUUAUGUUUUGGGUGUUAUUUUCCUUUAAUUCAGAUAUUACAUGCCAGGGUAUUGUCCUAGUUUUCAUUUUUGGUGCGUAAAUUGAUCAAAUUAUUCGUUCCUUUGAACACUAUUCUAAACUGAGUGGACUCCAAAUACAUAUUAUCAUCUCUCGUCUAUUUCUACUUGCCCUUCGGCCUUGAAGUAAACUUGGGAUAAUUAUGCAUUUUGUUAUAUGCAAUUUUGAGUACAGUGCACUUUGCCGCAGCUACUUAUAUGAUAUUACCUAUUGUAGACACAUCCUUAUGUUUUGUUCAUUUUCUUAAAAACGAUUAAGAGUUUAAUCAUUUUUGUCUUUAAGCAUAAAACAAAGAGUAAUCAGUCCAUUCUGUAUGUGUGACCUGCAAAAAAAAAUACAAUGGUUGUUAAUUUGGUUUGCUGAAAAGCCUGAUAGCCUUUGAGGUAACUUUUUAAAGUAUUUAGAAGAAAUGUAUCUUUUUUUAAAGUAUUUAUAUGCACUGUAAUUUCUUUGAUAGUUACUGUUAUGUUAUACUGUUUGUACAGUAAAGCAGCUGUUAUACAUUUUUUGUCAAUAGCAAAUGUAAACCAGUAUUGUAAAUUGAUGACUCUAUGAGCUAAAUACCAGUACUUUCUA